rnacentral:rRNA from 1 species
GACGAACGCUGGCGGCGUGCUUAACACAUGCAAGUCGAACGGAAAGGCCCUGCUUUUGUGGGGUGCUCGAGUGGCGAACGGGUGAGUAACACGUGAGUAACCUGCCCUUGACUUUGGGAUAACUUCAGGAAACUGGGGCUAAUACCGGAUAGGAGCUCCUGCUGCAUGGUGGGGGUUGGAAAGUUUCGGCGGUUGGGGAUGGACUCGCGGCUUAUCAGCUUGUUGGUGGGGUAGUGGCUUACCAAGGCUUUGACGGGUAGCCGGCCUGAAAGGGUGACCGGCCACAUUGGACUGGAGUUCCGGCCCGGACCCCUCCGGGGGGCAGCGGGGGGGAUUAUUGCCCAAGGGGCGGAGGCCGGAGGCAGCAACGCGGGGGGCGGAAUACCGGCUUUCGGGUGGUAAACCGUUUUCGCUGGUGCCGAGGCGUGGGGGAGGUAAAUGGUAAAAGAGGCACCGCUUAAUUCCUU